rnacentral:rRNA from 1 species
GACGAACGCUGGCGGCGUGCUUAACACAUGCCAGUCGAACGGAAAGGCCCUGCUUUUGUGGGGUGCUCGAGUGGCGAACGGGUGAGUAACACGUGAGUAACCUGCCCUUGACUUUGGGAUAACUUCAGGAAACUGGGGCUAAUACCGGAUAGGAGCUCCUGCUGCAUGGUGGGGGUUGGAAAGUUUCGGCGGUUGGGGAUGGACUCGCGGCUUAUCAGCUUGUUGGUGGGGUAGUGGCUUACCAAGGCUUUGACGGGUAGCCGGCCUGAGAGGGUGACCGGCCACAUUGGGACUGAGAUACGGCCAGACUCCUACGGGAGGCAGCAGUGGGGAAUAUUGCACAAUGGGCGGAAGCCUGAUGCAGCAACGCCGCGUGCGGGAUGACGGCCUUCGGGUUGUAAACCGCUUUCGCCUGUGACGAAGCGUGAGUGACGGUAAUGGGUAAAGAAGCACCGGCUAACUACGUG